CAGAGACGAGGAAGCUUACACCAACAUCGCUAACAUAGUGUUCAGCUCUAUCCUCCUCUUUGGAGCAUGGAAGGAAAGCUGGUGGCUGUUGCUUUACGCUACCCCGUGGUUGCUCCUACAAAUCCUCCGCUGCACGGCGCCAGCAUAUGAUGAUGAAGACGACAUCACGCAAAGGAUCAAAGCUUUCAUUGUGCUCUGCGUGCGACAAGCCAUUCUGAUCCUGACGAUCCUCUACUGGUGGGAGAUGGGCAAGGCAGCCCACUGACGCUUGGGCAUCGCAGCUCAUGUCGCUCGCCUCACCGUCAUCUCCUUCCUUGUAUCUGAUAAAUUUCCCCAGAUGCGUAAUGGUAAUUUUUGAUUCCAAGUCUCUGUAUUCUUCAUAAAUUGGCGAUAAAAUGUUCACACUUUAAAUACUCGCUGACUGGAUUAGGGAGACGCUGCUCCGAACGCUUGGCGAAUUGAUUAUUUCGAUAUGGAGUGUCAUAGUAGUAUUAAAAAAAAAAAAGAAAAG